UUCUAUUUAAGCAAGAGCCAUAAACCCUAAUUCUCAUCAUAUCUUCUAUUCCUCUCGCCCUGUAUAUCUACGUGUAUAGAUGUGUUCGUCAGGUAAAUUUGCAAGACAUUUAUAAAAUUUUGAUUGAUAAUUAUAUUUGCCUCUUCUUCAGAAUCCUUUAAAAUGUCACGAUUUGGGUUCUCUAUUUGAUGUAUAUACUCGUCAAGGGGCAGAAAGUUUAUGCAGGAGAGUUGAGUCGCUUCGCCACAGUACUGUUACGCCAGGGUACAUGAGGUGUGGGUUUUGGAUGAAGCUUCAAGUUUGUUCUCGGUUAUGCCAUUGAGGAAUGUGAUUUCUUUGACUGCAAUGAUAUUAGAGUACUAGCAGAAUAGGGAAAUAUAGGGAGGCUUUGAAAAUUUACUUGGAAAUGGAGGGGAGGAUUGAAGCUUAUGCACGAGCUAAUGGUUAUUUCAAGAAUAUGUUUGUCUGCAAUCAGUGCUGGAAUUGCACACAAGAUGUGGUAGAAUUGAGAGAGCAUUGCAAGUGUUUGAUGACAUCACUGAACGUAGAAAUUUCAUUCUUGGAAUACCAUGAUCAUGGGUUUAGCAGUCCAUGGAAAAAGUGAUAAAGUUGCAAUGUAUAAUCAAAUGCUGGGAAAAGGAAUAACACCAGACGAUGUCACAUUUAUGGACAAUAUUAGCAUGCACACAUGGAGGCUUGGUUAAAAAGAAUCACGGACUCUUCAAUUUAAUGAACAAGUUCUCCAUUAAUCCAAAGCGAGAACAUUAUGGAUGCACAGCUGAUCUAGGUCGUGAAGGAGAACUGCAAGAAGCUUAUGGUCUUGUACAGACUAUGCUGAUGAAACCUGAUUCCAUUGUUUGGGGAACUCUGCUUGGGUCGUGCAGUUUCUAUAGCAGUGUCAAGCUCGCUGAGAAAACUGCUGAGUUUCUCUUUAAGUUGGAGCCAUGGAGUCCAUGUAAUUACGUGAUUCUUUCCAAUGUCUAGGCAAGCGCAGGCAAGUGGGAUGGAGUUGCACAGUUGAGGAAGCCUGUGAAAGGCUCAAAUAUCAGAAAAGCAGACGGUUAUAACUUCAUUGAGGAAGGAGGCAAGAUUCAUAUAAAUUCAUAGUAGAUGAUAAAUCUCAUCCUAGUCUGAUCUGAUAUUUGCAGUUUUAGAUUAUUU